rnacentral:rRNA from 1 species
GACGAACGUUGGCGGCGUGCUUAAUACAUGCAAGUCAACUGAAGCAGUGGUAGCAAUAUCGCUGUGGAGGUGGCGCACGGGUGAGUAACACGUAGGUAAUCUGCCUUCAGGUCUGGCAUAACUCCGGGAAACCGGGGCUAAUAGCAGAUGAUGCAGCGGCUCGACAUCGAGACAGUUGUUAAAGCUAUGGCGCCUGAAGAUGAGCCUGCGUCUGAUUAGCUAGUUGGCGGGGUAACGGCCCACCAAGGCAACGAUCAGUAGCUGGUCUGAGAGGAUGAUCAGCGACACUGGAACUGAGACACGGUCCAGACUCCUACGGGAGGCAGCAGUAAGGAAUAUUGCUCAAUGGGAGAAAUCCUGAAGCAGCAACGCCGCGUGAGGGACGAAGGGCUUUUGCUUGUAAACCUCUGUAGUGAGAGAAAAAAAUCCCAAUCUUUGGGACAUGAUGGUAUCUCAAAAGUAAGCCCCGGCUAACUACGUG